AAUGAACGCUGGCGGCAUGCCUAACACAUGCAAGUCGAACGAGAUACCGGCUUCGGUUGGUAUCUAGUGGCGCACGGGUGCGUAACGCGUGGGAAUCUACCCUUGGGUUCGGAAUAACAGUGAGAAAUUACUGCUAAUACCGGAUAAUGUCGCAAGACCAAAGAUUUAUUGCCCAGGGAUGAGCCCGCGUAAGAUUAGCUAGUUGGUGGGG
rnacentral:rRNA from 1 species